rnacentral:rRNA from 1 species
ACGGGAGGCAGCAGUGAGGAAUAUUGGUCAAUGGGCGGAAGCCUGAACCAGCCAAGUCGCGUGAAGGAUGAAGGUAUUAUGUAUUGUAAACUUCUUUAGACGCAGAGAAAUAAGGAGGUCGUGACCUCUGAUGCUAGUAUGCGUAGAAUAAGGAUCGGCUAACUCCGUGCCAGCAGCCGCGGUAAUACGGAGGAUCCGAGCGUUAUCCGGAUUUAUUGGGUUUAAAGGGUGCGCAGGCGGUCUUUUAAGUCAGUGGUUAAAUCGUGAGGCUCAACCUCAUCACGCCAUUGAUACUGGAGGACUUGAUUGCGGUUGAGGUGGGCGGAAUUCGCCGUGUAGCGGUGAAAUGCAUAGAUAUGGCGAAGAACUCCGAUUGCGUAGGCAGCUGACCAAGCCGCGAAUGACGCUCAUGCACGAAAGUGCGGGGAUCGAACAGGAUUAGAUACCCUGGUA